rnacentral:rRNA from 1 species
AGUAUGAAAGGCAAAAUGAGGGCCUCACUGUCUCUUAUAGUAAAUCAAUUAAACUGAUCUCCUAGUAAAAAAGCUAGAAUACACUCAUAAGACCAGAAGACCCUGUGAAGCUUAAACUAAACUAUUAAACCACAUAAUAACUACUUUUGGUUGGGGCGACCUUGGAAAACAAAAGAACUUCCAAAAUUAUUACCCAUUGGGGGAAUAUGCCAGGCCAACAAGCCUAUUAAACGACCCAGCACAGCUGACAAUUGAACCAAGUUACUCCAGGGAUAACAGCGCCAUCUUCUUCAAGAGUCCAUAUUAAAAAGAAGGUUUACGACCUCGAUGUUGGAUCAGGACAUCCUAAUGGUGCAGCAGCUAUUAAGGGUUCGUUUGUUCAACGAUUAAUAGU